GAUAAGUUGGAUUGGUCGGUCGAACUCACCAUUGGGCGAGUUGGCCUUGGCUAAUCCAACUUCUCUGAUGGGUCGGACGAUGCUGGUUUGGUUGUUCUGAUGCUCGAGAAUUUUUCGUUCGAUGGUUGAAUGAUCCUUUGCGAGGAGAUUGCCUUGUAAUAGUUUUAAAAAUACGAAGUUUUAGUUUUCGUAUUUUUCUUUUCUUUUUAGAAAGUCUUCUCAGAACUUUCCGACAUUGAUUUCGUCGUUACUGAUUUUGACACCAACAGCAGCUUGAAGGUUAAUUUAAGCAUAUCAAAAGUGAAAAGAGAAUGAAGACAGUCCGAAGUUGAUAAUAUAUUGAACUGCUCUAAAAACGGCUUUCAAGUGAGUGUAAUCAUGACCUCCCAUGAACUUUUGAUCCUAUUCAGACGAUUCAGAAGUCGUCGACAGACCGUGUCAGAUGUAGGCAAGUGGCGUCUUCUUUCCCAAAAUCACCCGCAAAGUCAAGUUAGUUACUUGAGGGAACGUUGGAUUGGCCAGAGCUUUCGCACUUUUAGAUUCUUGACCACACUAAAACGGCUGGGGGACAAUCGCUGAACCCAAUAAACACUAGAGGUAAAAAACCGACGACUUAAGUUUAUUAGCAUUUUACUUCGACUAAACUUUAUUUAGGAGAAUUGCAGAUGGCAAAGUCAGCAUUUCGAUCUAAGAGAAGACCGGUCAAGAAAGGCCAUUAGCAAGAGGAAGACAAGGUCAACACGACGAGAACAAGAUCCUGAGUAUCUAGAGAUCGUUGAGGAACCUUCGUAGAGGGCACAACAUUAAGAAGAGAGGACACCGAAGUAGAGAGCAGACGUGAAAAAUCCUAGAAAAUUACACCACAUUCAUCGACCUCGACCUUGAGCUCUCUUAUUUUAUUCCAUUUUUCGUAAUCGAUCUUAGUUGUAUCUUAAUCUCAUUUCCAUAAUUGUAUUCAACCACAUCUAAUCAAUAAAAGUCCAUUUAUGUCAGCCGGAAUCCAUCUAAAAUCCACACUAAGUAUUUGGUAGUGUUUGAAUUAAUCAGAUUCCGGUUGACAUAAAUGGACUUUUUUCUUAUUCUGAGGAUAUUAUUCAUACCUUCUUUUUUCUGGACUUUUUUCUUAUUCUGAGGAUAUUAUUCAUACGUUCUUUUUUCUUCCCUAGUUUUUUAAUUCAAACACUACCAAAUACUUAGUGUGGAUUUUAGGAUCCACAAUAGGAACUUCCUGAAUCCAUGUUCCUUCAUGAACCCAUUGAAACUUUUAUUCCACUUCCUUGGCGACUACUUAAGACCGUAAAGAUAUUUCUUCAACAGAUAAAACAUAUCUUCCUUCCAUUUAAUCUUGGAUCCCUCUGGUUGUUCCAUAUCAAUUUCUUCAUCUUGAGUUCCAUUUAAGAAAGCCGUCAUCACAUCUAGCUGCCUAGAUAUAGGUUUUCCUUAACCACCAGUGACAAGAUGAACCUGAUCGAGACAUGCUUUACAACC
rnacentral:lncRNA from 1 species